rnacentral:lncRNA from 1 species
CUAAACCUCACAGGCUGUCUCCUCAGGGUUAGUGGUUAUUUUUCCUCAGCUAGAGGGAAGAACAAAGGAAUGGAGCCCAGAUGCACCAGAAUGGGGACCUGGUGGAAGAACUGAAAAAGCUGGGGAUCCGCUCCACCCUUUUAGAUGAAAAAAGAAAUAUGGAUGUGCCCAUAGCACACAUUACUCAGCUUUGAAACUGGCAGAUAAGGCUGUUGCCUUACAGAAGGGCAGAGAAACAUGAAGGAAUCAACCCAAGUCCAUGAGUGACUGAAUGAGUUGAGUAGGCCACCUAUGUGCUCUGGACUGUCAAGUGGAGAGAAACUUGACAAGUGAUACUGAGUGUCCUCCUCAACCAAAGUGAACAUUUAGAAAGAGUCUCACUCUGCUGCCCAGGCUAGAGUACAGUGGUAUGAUCUCAGCUCACCUCAACCUCCACCUCCCGGAUUCAAGCGACUCUCCUGCCUCAGCCUCCCAAGUAGCUGGGAUCACAGGCGUGCACCACCAUGCCUGGAUGAUUUUUGUAUUUUUAGUAGAGACUGGUUCUCACCAUGUUGGCCAGUGUGGUCUCGAACUCCUUACCUCAGGUGAUCCGCCUGCCUUGGCCUUCCAAAGUGCUGGGAUUAUAGGCAUGAGCCACCGCACCCGGCCAGCACUUACACUUAUACAUCAUGUAUUGUAAUUGCUCAUUUCCUUGUCUGUGUCUCCCAUUAGUCCCUCAGCUCUACAAGUUUGGGGAUUGUAUCAGUUUUUUCCACUGCUCUCUCAGUUUCGCUGACACACAAUAGAAAUUUAUUAAAUGUUUGUUGAUUAAAUGAAUAAAAUGGUGAGAGACUUCAAGCUUAGGUGCCUUGGGAGAGCCAUAACCAGACAGGAUUCCUCUGUUAAAGCUUAAUCUAUGAGCUGCUGACAAUUGUAAAGCCAGAGCCCCAAGGCCUGCGGUCACUUUCAGAUGAUGUCCCUUUCGGGAGGUGUCAGUGAAACCCACCUGCCCACCACCUUGCCUGUCUGUUUUCUGUGUGCUGUGUGGGCCAAGUAGUACUGGGAGGAGCAGCUUUAAAUCUGAAAGUGUCCUAUACAUUUUCCAAGCCUCUGUAGCAGUCACCAUUUUUCCCAAGCUAGCUUGUGUAAUAAUGCCUGGAGGCUAGUAAACAAUGAACAAUCCAAUACCUUUCAAAGCAUCCUGGAAGUACAAUAUUUGUGCUCCUUCUGUGGCAUGUAAAUAUGUCUUAUAUCAUGCAACAUGCUGCUUUUCUAAAUAUUCAUAAA